AUUACAAAUUACAAAUGCAAACUAAAGUGAAUUUAGGCAGAUUAAUCAGAUUGAUUUAGGCAGAUUAAUCAGUUUGUUUUUCUGCUCCAGUUUUCAAACUGCCUCAUCUUUGUUCUGUGACGAAAAAAAAAACCUGUUAUAUUUGCUCUGUCACAACUACAUGUGGAGUAGAGAGUCUUGUCAACGUUUUCCAAAAUCAAGUGAGUAGAAAUGCUUGGAGAAAUAUUUUCAGGUCUCAAGGGGUGUGCUGAGAGACGCAGGGGAUUCCAUCCAACUUGGUGACAGUACCCUGAUCCAAUGGCCUAAUUACGAGCGUUAAUCAUCAGGCUAAGUUUGAGGCACCUUUCACAAAGACUGUAGCGCCUCCUCAGUCUUCCAAGUCAAGAUAACAGAGUCCAAACUUUGAAAACCAUCCAGUUACCAUGGAGACGGUCCUGCUCCCGGACCAGUGGAGUAUGCCCAUCCUCAAGCCUCCAGACACCGCCGCGGGCCGCUGCCCUCAAAGAACCCACCACAGGCUGACAGGAAAUACUGUGCCAUGCACUUUCUUCCUCAUACUGUUUCAUCACCCUCCUAAAACUCGGAGGUUGGUAUGAUUAUUUUCCACAUCCUACAAGGGAAGACACUAAGACUAACUAGUUAAAUAUUCUGUCCCAAAUCAGUCAGUACGAGACAGGGCGGGGCUCGAGCCCUGGAAUCUCGAACCCCUGGUUCCUGGGGCGCCCCUCGGACGCGGGGUCCCAGGCGUGGGCUCUGCUCCGCUUGCCUCGCCACACGAAGGCCCUUCCACCCCGUCACGGACUCCAGGCUUCUUUGCGGGCCGGGACCGAGGGCCCGCGCCUGUGGUCGGGUCGCAAGACCCCGGCCGCCGCCAUCCCCGGCCGAGGCCGCCGCCCCGCCCCCGCUGGCUGCAGGCCCGGCGCCCGCCCCCCCGGGGUUUUCGCUUUCGCUUUCCCGCCGAUGUCGUUGAGGGAAACAGCGCAGCGGGGCCAGCUCAGGCGCAGCUGCCGUUCCCGGCGGGCGAGGGGCGCAGAGGGCGGCGGCGGCGGCGGCGGCGGCGGCGGCCGAGGAGACCGGGCCGGGCCCGGCGCGCGGCGAGGUGCCAGAGUUUGCAGCCUGUUGGGGAAAACCAACAUCAAGGACCAGUGCUUUGAAUGGACUACAGCCCAAUGGGUCUGUCCCAGUGCUGCUCCUUUACUGAGACAGCACUGCGGAGUGCCACCCUGCUUGCUAUGCACAGCUGCUCUGUGGAUUGAAGAUGAAGAUUCGGUGGAGUGAAGGACUGGAGGACUCCUGUGACAUUUUACUGCAGGCAGGGAAGGUGAGUAGUGUGGGAAAAAGGAAUGGCAGAAACCACGGCCAAGAUCUGUCUGGACUUCAGGGGACUCGUGCACAUGAGCUUGGCAUUCUCUCAGGGUAUAGAUCUUGUUUUAUUUUUCCUCAUUUCCCAGAUCUGAUGCAGGCUUUGCCUGACAGUUAACAAACGGUGUCAAGUGGGUGUGCAGUGUGUGCUGUAGGAAAUAAGGGCUCACUAGGACCCUGCUGGACAGGCCUCCCACCGGCUCCCACUUCUCUGGAGGGCCUAGCAGACAGCCACCAGCAGGAGCAGCCUCUCAGGACGCCCAGAGCUGCUGCCUGCCAGCCCUUCGCACACGAGCCCUGCUGACAGGGCUCAGACAGGGUUCCUUUCUCCUCUCCAAGCUGAACGUGGCCAGUCCACAGUUCCUUAACAUACUGACUGUCCCUCCAGUCUGGAGAGGCACAGAAGGAUCCAGGUGUCGUCUGGACAGGCAGAGCAUGGAUGAGGAUUGAAGAUUUAGGUCUGCAUGCUUCCUUCGGCCGUCAGUGUGGCUUCCAGUGCUGCAGGAAGGCUCAGGGUUGCUGCCCGUUGUCUUUCUUGCUUUGGUGUUCUCGUGGCCUUUAUGUAGGUAUAUUGUGCUAUAAAACCUCAUGUUGUAGGGCUGGGGACUUAGCUCAGUGGUUCUGCCUCUUACCUUGUAAGUGCAAGGUCCUGAGUUCAAUCCCCAAUACCAAAAAACCCCCCCAAAAACCAAACCUCAUGUUGUAGUUCUUGUGAGCAGAGUAGUUUUCCCUCCACAAUCCUGGAAACUCCCCGAAGGCAGCUGGCUGGUGGUGGGCACUCCAUUAAAUGUUAGCUAGUACUAUUUGCUUUGUUAUUUUCUCAUUGCAAUGGAUGACGUUCAUAUCAUUUAAUGAGCAUGUGCUGUGUGCCAAAAACUGCUCGAUGCUGGAAUGCAGCCCUACCUGCGGAGCUCCCAGGCACUUGGGAAGACUGGUUGAUUGGAUGAUGAAUCCUGGUUGUAGUCCCUGUGAUGAACACCUCUGCUGUCAGACAUCACUGGCUGCCUUCUGUGUGCUCAACUUAGAACCGAGCCCAUUCUUCAGCGGCCGGAGGAUAUCCUGUGGAGCAGUGCAGCGCCCGGCCUCCCAUCCUGUGUGAACUGCAAGGCAGCGGCUGUGGCCCUGAGGCCCUCUUCUCUCCCAGGCCAGGCUGCGCCUCCUGCUCACAGUUCUACUUUUCCUAAGCCAAACUGGAGGCCAGGGCACCGAGAACGUCGAGAUGGCAUAUUUCCAGAGUGUGGAGGAGACAGACUGUACCGCAGGAGCCUGGAGCCAGGCCCCAAAGGUUCUGCUGGCUGUCCCAGGGGCCUGCCCUUACGACAGCCCACCCGGGACAUCUCGGAGCUUGUAUCUCUGCUCAUCAGAAGUUGGAGGAGUGGGUUCGAGGGGGCAGCUGUUUCCUAUAAAAAUGUCCAGUAGAGGUAAUGUCCUUGGGACAAACUCUUUUUUUUUCUAUACUGGGGAUGGAACAUACAGCCUUCACUCUGAACUGUAUCCUCAGCUCCCUUUAAAAAAAAAAAUUAUUUUGAGAAAGGGUUUUGAUAAGUGCUAAAUUGCCCAGGGUGGGCUCCAACUUGCAGUGCUGGCCUCCCAAAGUACAGGGAUUACUGCUGGACACGAUGCCCGGUUGGUCAUCCUUUUUUUUGGGGGGGAGGGUACCGGGGAUUGUACUCCAGACCUUGUGCUUUCGAGGCAGGCGCCGGAACCACUGAGCUAAAUCCCCGGCCCUGGUUGGUCAUCCUUUUUGACACCCAAGCUAAGGAGGCUCAUUCUGUGCCUGAGGCUCCAGUGUCUCGCAUUCUGCCCGCUGGAAUACGGUCUCUCAGAGGGGCUGUGGAGCCUCGUGUGGUCGACUCCAACCAAGGUGCAGGCAUUUGGGGAGCGUCGUCCCCAGGUAAUUCCUGUGUGUCCAUUUCCUGUUACUGAGACAAAUUACUAUAAACUUGGUGUCUUAGAAAAACACACAUCUAUUUUCUUAAAGUUCUGAGGGCCAGAAAUCCAAAAUAAGUCUCAGUGGGCUAAACUCAAGGUGUCAGCGGGAAUGUGUUAAUCUCCACCGAGGCUCUGUGCCUGUCCCAGGGUCAAGAGGCUCCACGCGUUCUGCCCUGUGGCUCCUUCCUCUGACUUCAAGUCCAGCAGUGGCUGGUCAGGACUUCCACAUAAUGCCAUCUCUCAGAUUCUACCUCUCCUGCCUCCCUCUUCCCUGUUUAAGGAGCCCAGUGAUUACAUUGGGCCCCCCAGACAAUUUCUCUGUUUCCCACUUCCAGCAACCUUAAUUCUCCAUUGCCACGUAUCAUGGCGCAUCCACAGGUCCCACCCACUUGGACGUGGACAUCUUUAUUCCACCAUGGACCGUUAUUUUGCACACCCAGCCAACCUCUCCUGUGGCUUUUCCAAGGGUCUCAUCCUCAGGCAUAGACAGUGGGCUGGGCCAGACCAGUCGGGAUGUGCCCACCACUGGCAGAGAGGUCCUUUCUGCCCAGACACCCUCCCUGCUUUAGCUCACCUCCUCUUCUCUCAUCCUCUGCUCCCCCUCUGGCGUAGAGGGAAGCUGGUGAGGCUAGAUGCGCCGCGGGAGCCCAGGGAGCUGAGCCCUCCCCGGCCAGACAGCCUGUCUUCCAGGGGCUGGAGCCAGAGCCCAGCCUUUGCGGUCGCGGACUCACAGUCUGAGGGCAGUUGCAGGGUCGGAGGGGCAGGCAGGCACAUAUCGGAGACACACGUAUCCCCUGUGCCUCUCGGCCUCCCUUCCUCAGGUGACAACAGCCUGUCUACCCUCCGGCACUCGGUGGUCCUUUUUGGGGCUGGGACCUUGAGAGGCUCCCAAGGAGGGGAGGCCCCCAUCAAAUCUGUCCCUGGGUACUGGUGAGGACCUGGGGGAUCCAGGACCCCAGCAAGAGGUCUCAUCAGCACAGCAGAGCAAAGCAGGAGGAGCUGGACAGGGCCUUCGGUCUUCAAGUAUGGUGACCAGUUGGGCUUGGUUUGCCUAAGACUUUCCCACUUUGAGCAGUGGGGGUCCAAGCCCUGGAACUCGGUCAGAGCAAACCGAGACAGCUGGUCACCCUGUCUCCAGGGCCUUUAUCACAUUCUCUUCCGCUCUGGGUCAUCUCCGCUGCUACACAGCCAGCUCUUUGGACUCCUGGAUACUAGAAAGACCUGGGGGCUGAGGAAGGACCCCAGGCCCACGCCAGAAAGGAGCAGGCUCUUGCCCCAGCAAGCCCGGCAGAGGAGCCAUCAACAGUGAAGACCAAGCUGGUGUCUGCGGGGCACAGAGCUCCCAGGAGCAGUGUGCGUAAGACGGUGAAAAGGAAACCUCUAAACACUUAGCAGCCUGGUCACUUCUGAGUGGUGGAUUGCAGGUGGCUUUCAUAAAUACUUUGAGUUCCCCCUCUGUAUUUCUUCCUCUCUGUACAAGUAAGCCAUGUUCUUUCUGUAUGUUUUUAAUAAAAGAAAGCCAGUGGUGACUCAGCCAUCCAUCUCCAGUCCUGCUGAGGGACACGAGCAGUUGUGCUGGCACCUGUGACCUUGGCUGUGGGCUGGUCAUGGCCCCAUUCUGCCCGAAGCUCUACUGCAAGGGCAGGGAAGCUACUCCUCCGUGUCCUUCGGCCCCACAGUGCACCCAGGGUCCAGCCUGGCUUGUUCCCUGAGUGAAGACUCAAAAGCCUGAUGUGCUCUCUCUUGGCAGAGCAGGGGUGCAGGUGCUGAGGACACACAGGAUGUGGCUGGCCAUUGGGAGAUGCUCUUGAGCACCACUCUGGACUGAGAAUGAUGGGGAGAGGAGCUCUUGCCUCCAGGCAGCUGGCACCUGGUUGGAGAGCUCGGGUUACCCCACAGACCAUGUGGCGCAUGGUGGACUGGAUGAGGCCUUGCCUGUGAGGAUUGUCCGAGGUCGCAUAGGGGAGACCCAGGAGCCUCACUGCACUUGUCUUAGAAUGGCCAGAGGCCAAAACAGGUUUUCUUGAGUGACCUGAGGCAGCCCCCCAAGCUCGGGGUAAAUGGUCUCCCCCUCCCAGAACUCGCUGCUGGACACUUUGUGACAGAAGAGUGGCAAGAACAGUCAGCAAGAUGUUCCACUCUUAGACAGCUGGGCACCCUUGGGCCCUCCUCCUUGCCCUCUCCCCUCGUAUUCUUUGGGAGUGCCAGGCUCUAGACUUCCUCUGGCUGCCUCCGUCUGGUCUCCUGAUACCAAGCAGUUCUCUCCACCCCAAGCCCAGCAAGAGCACUUGGAAGGGAGCCCUGGGUCUCCAGUAGAGGCAGCCACCCCUCCACCUCCUACAUACAGGGCCAGCAUUCCCCACCCUAGUCCACCCUAGUCCACCAUUGUCCUGGUGAGGCCAACAUGUGACCUUGUUCAUUGUUUUGGAAAAGUAGUAAGUGUUCUGGCCUAAUGAUCCCUCCCUAUUGAACCCAGAACCCAAGCACAACUCCAUGUUCACACAACUCCCUUGACCCAGGAAGUCAGCUUUCUCAGAGAAGCCUGGCAUGUGCUUCCCCCUCCUUGCCACACCCUCGCCCCUAAGCCAAGAUCCUGCUCUAUCCCUUCUCCCUAAGCAAAGCUGCAGCUGAGUGUUUUUACUACUUUCUUUUUUUUUUUUGGUGCUGGGGAUCGAACUUGGGUCCUUGCGCUUGCACAGCAAGUGGCAAAACCACUGAGUUAAAUCCCCAGCCCCUAAACUGAGUGUUUUUAAGUGCUAGGGAAGACCUUGCUAGUCCUGCCUCAAUUCUGGGCAGAUUUGGGAAUCUGAACGUGUGAGGGAAAAGUGAUAGCAGAAUUGGACACUCCCCACAUCCAUGUGGUUUUUAAGGGAAAGAGGACAGUAGGAACGGAGACAGGGAUUCAGGCCAGUUCAGGAUUCGGCCACACAAAGUAGUGAGGGCCCCAACCUGGCGACCUCUUGGCUGGCUAUGGAGGCUGGGCAGGCCUCCCCUGAAGGGAAGGUAGUAGUGAGCUCUGGUGUCUACCUGGUGUGGCAACUAGCAUCUGCCUUGGGUGCUGCAGUUUCUCAGGAAUUAGACCCACUAGAGGCACAGGGCCUGAGCCCGGCCCAAGGCUAGGAGUUAGGAUGCACCUCUGAGUGGUCCAGACCUCUGAGGGACCCCAGAGGCCAAAACCGUCUGGCCUAGGGCAGAAGAGCUGGCUUCGCAGACAGAAUUGUGUCUAAAAAGUCCCCUUUGACCCCUAGAGCUGAGACCUACCAGGCCAGAGUCCCCUAGAGAAAACGGACUGUGUAGCUAAGCUGCUCCCUGCUCUGAGGCCAAGUAUCAAGCCUGUCAGGUCACAGCCCUGGCCUUGGCCUUCAGAACUGCAUGCAGGUGGCCUCCCGGGUAGAGGUGGGGAAUCACUUCUCUUGGGGCCCAAGCCAAACUCCACCACACUGGGGCCCUGGGGCCUGUGGCGGCAGAGCCAUAUUGUCUGAAGUACCAGGAGGGGCCAGGGGCGCUGAUGCCAAGGCGACACAGCAGCUGAACCUUUGCUGUCUUCCGUCAAGGUCUCCAGAUGCCUUCUUGUCAUAGGUUCCUAGUGCCCUGUCCCUUGCCGGCACUCCCCAAAUUCCCCCCCCAGGCUUCAGUUUCUUCCUUUGUAGGCAGCCUGAUCUUGUAGAACCCACCUGUGUUCUGGGCAUGGACAGGUGUGGGUUGGAAUCCAGCUGAGUCACCCGUCGUGGGCAAGCCCCUUGUGCGUGCUGAGCAUGGUUUCCUGGUCUGUGAAUGAGGCUGGGGGUGGGGAGCUGUGCCUGAGUGACAGUGCAAAGGGGAGCUUGGCACAGUCCCUGGUCCCAAGGGAACACUCGGGUCUGUUUCAGUAUCCAAGCAGAUCUGAGGUCUGCUCUAGUUCUGCUCCUUUCCAAGCUGCAGACUGCACUGAGCCCGCAGAAGUGGGGGCUUCUUCUGCAACUGCCCCCCCACCACCAGAAAAGCAGCAGAAAUGGACCUUUGGGAGCCGCCUGGAGCCAGGAAAACCACAGCCAACCAGCUAGGUCUUCCUCAGACUCGACCCCACAAGGGAGCUCUGGCCGGCGAAGCCGCCUUCCACCCUGCCACGUACCUUCACCUCUGGAAAAGGAGCACACCAGCGCCCCAGGCUCUGGUUUCUGUAAGAGCUGGUGAAAGUGGGGAGAGACCAGUGCUGAGUUCAGAUGGAUUUUACACAUCUUCCGUGUGGAGAGUGAGUGGUUGCCUCAGUUAAGACACAGCAUCACGUAGGUCAGACGAAAGUUCCUUGUUGGAUGCUUCAGCAGGGCUGUGUGGAGGAAACUCCGACCCCAUGCAAGAGUGGAGUUUUGGGUCUGGGCCAACAGUGAGAAAGACGGCCCACUGGUCGCAGAGAAUGACAACUUGGGCAUGACCCAGCUCCAUGGACUAGGUGGCAUCACUCCCAGAGAAAAGGGCUCCACCUGCAACCAAGCUCAAGGCUUUUCCCAGGAUUUCAGCUGGGCCCUGGGCAUACCCCACUGGAGGCUUCCAGAGACCGGGAGCAAGCUCUUAUGUGUGGAGGCAGGGUGACCACAACACCCUAUACACGUGCAUGGAGAGAUGCUGAAAGCUGAUACUCUAAGAAGGGAUGAUUUUCACAUUAGCCUUCAGCUUUCAUCCUACUGCAAGUAGCUGAAUAAAUAAACCAACCCGAUUAAAGUAACACCUUUGGAAUAAAACAAGGAAACUCCUCUGGCUGAUGAGAAAUGCCCUCCAGUGUCUGUAAACUUGGUUCAUCAUGGGUGUGCCUGAGACUAGCUGGUGUACCUGAAAUCCCCCUUUGAUACUUUACCCCAUUGCAAAGUGGCCCUCAAUGACCAUAAUGUCACAGUAAUCCCAACAAAGCUCAUCUUUCAAUGACCUCCUAGCUCCUUCAACCAAGAACUUCCAUUCUGAGUGCUUAGAUUGAAAAUCUUGGGAAUUACCUACCCUUAGGAAGCACUGACAAGUCCUGAAUGAUCUUAAACUUUUAGGCCCAAAUUUGGUUCAGAUUAUACUGAGGCUGAUCCUUUCCAGACUCUGUUUGCUAAUGAGAUAGUCCCAGCUGCCAUCACCUUUAGGUCUGACUUCUAGGCCUGGGCCGAGGUUCACAGUGAGAUGUGAUGCGACAGCUCCCUAUCCUGUUAGGUCGGUCCCUAUCACACAUGCUCUUCCCUGGAGCCCAGCUGCCUUGCAAUUUUGGGUGCAGAGUUUUAGGUUCCUUCUCUGGACAUUCCAAU
rnacentral:lncRNA from 1 species